UACACACACAUCAUUCAAUACCUGCUGGGGAUACAGGUACACACACAUCAUUCAAUACCUGCUGGGGGUACAGGUACACACACAUCAUUCAAUACCUGCUGGGGGUACAGGUACACACACAUCAUUCAAUACCUGCUGGGGGUACAGGUACACACACAUCAUUCAAUACCUGCUGGGGGUACAGGUACACACACAUCAUUCAAUACCUGCUGGGGGUACAGGUACACACACAUCAUUCAAUACCUGCUGGGGGUACAGGUACACACACAUCAUUCAAUACCUGCUGGGGGUACAGGUACACACACAUCAUUCAAUACCUGCUGGGGGUACAGGUACACACACAUCAUUCAAUACCUGCUGGGGGUACAGGUACACACACAUCAUUCAAUACCUGCUGGGGAUACAGGUACACGCACAUCAUUCAAUACCUGCUGGGGGUACAGGUACACGCACAUCAUUCAAUACCUGCUGGGGGUACAGGUACACACACAUCAUUCAAUACCUGCU